ensembl:lncRNA novel transcript
UUUUUUUUUUUUUUUUUUUUUUUUGCGUUUAAGUCUUGGUCUUGCGCCCAGGCUGGAGUGCAGUGGCAGGAUCUCAGCUCACUGAAACCUCCACCUCCCAGGUUCAGGUGAUUCUCCUGCCUCAGCCUCCAGAGUAGCUGGGAUUACAGGUGUGAGCCACCGUGUCCAGCCGGAACUUUUUAAGCAUAGUUUGAAAGCCACGUUUGUCACUAAAUAACCAAAAAGACACAAUUAUUAGGUCUCCUUCAAUUCAAAAAGCUUAAGAACUCUGCUAAUGUACAAUUUGAUUUCCAUUUUAUAAAUCACUGUUCAUUUCACAUCCUGAAAAUUUAUGUUUUCAUCAACUCCAGAAUGAUAGAAUUCUUACCUUUCUAUUCAGGAAUCCAAGGCUAAGUUCCUUAAAUUUCUUAAAGAACACAUUAGAGGUGAAAACUUUUGUUAGACUUCAGACAAUAUUUUUAAAAGCUGAUUUCUAGAUUUAUUGGGUGGUCUAACCUAGUGUUAUGGAAGUUUAUUUCUUAUUACUAAGAUAGCCUCUUUUACUCCAAAAUACAAUGACAUUUCUCAAAACUUAUCUUUCAAACAUCAAGUUUGCCUGUACUUCAGCUUGGGCCCAAUUUUACCACUUGGUCCUUUUAAAUCUAUUAUUCAGGUAUCCCACAUUAUUCUACACAAAUACACAUAGGCUAGAGACAAAAACACAUGAAGAAAAGAGAGAAGGCAGAAAUGCUGGGUAAAACACUAACUGCCACUUCUUAGUUUCCACUUCAGUGACUUUAAGUCAAAUAAGCCUGGAAUCAACUAUCACUGUUGCCAAAGUCUGGCUUACGUAGGGAGUAGGGAACAUAAAUGUUAACUACAGACUUAGAAAUAAAUGAAUAUCUGAAUCUCACCCCACCGCUGCACUCUUGGCAUUUGGGAAGAGUGUACACAUACAUUUAACUGUUACUCUAUUUAGCAUUUGUUCUUUUUCUAACUCCCAUUUUUUUAAGUUGCAGAUGCUAAAAGCAGUCUGAGGACCUUGGUCAUUUAUAGCUUAUAAAUCACUGACAAUCAGAAAGAAAAACUAGUAUACAAGCAUUUAACAGUUACACUUCAGUUACUCAUGUAUUGGUAAACUGGUACUUGCUUAAUAGAAACAAAUUGUACCCCAACCCUAAAUUCCAUGCUUAAAAAAACUCAUCUUUACACAUUGCUUUAAACAGAGCGGCAUUCUCUCUAAAUUUAAAUACUUGAGUAAUAUAUGAGCAACAUAAAUUAACUUUUAGAUUAAGUAAAAUAUCCUGGAAUAACACUAACUCCAAAGAAAGCAAAAAGAUAUACUCUAACUUUACAGAUGAUCAUCAGGUAUACAGUAUGUUUAGUCAUAUCGCAAUACUUAACAGCCAAAUAAAUCUAACAACAAAAAAUAUAGCCAGAAUUUAUACUGCCAAAUCUGACACGCAACCCCAAAAGUGAAAUGUUUUUGAAUGAAAACAAGACAAGAUGUAUUUACACAAAAAGUUACACAUUUUCUUUAAUAUUUCAUGUAUCUUGUACAUUUAACAGUGGAAGUCGAAAUCUUCAGUAAUAUUUAAUUUUCAAAAUCUUCUGGUCACAAUCCC